rnacentral:lncRNA from 1 species
ACUGUUUUCCUCUGGGGUGCUCCACCCUUUCUUCAUUCUAGAGAGUAAUGGAUCCAAUGCUCACAGCUGCAGCAGUGGAGGCAGGACCUGUGUAUUUCUUUGACCAGAUGAAAACUAGAGUGAAAGAGAGAGACAAGAAGAUACCAGAAGAACUGUCCUCCUAUUUCAGUUUCCUCCCUACAGAUCUUCACCCCAUAAGUUUUACUCCCAGAUUUUUUUCUCCUCAGCCUGAUUAAAGGCAAGAAUCCCAGCUGUACAGGGGAGCAUACAGAAAGGCAUGAAGAUGGUUUCUUAAAUGAUGAUCCAUCAAGAAAAGAAGAAUAUCCAGUUUUGCAUCAGAUAUCUUGUCAUUCCCUGUGUAAAACCACCACUGAAGACGCAAACCCAAAGGUCUCCCAAAUACCUUCAAUCCAACAGGCAGAGGAAGACUCACCACUGAACAUGUUAAGUAACUGUGUGACUGCCAACAUGUUACAGGAACUGGAAGAGAAGUUGCAGUUCUUCACUAGUUAUGAGACUGGUUUCCCUCAGGGACUUGUGAAUAUGCUGACCUGUAAUGGGAGAGAAUUCACUGAGGGGACUGAUUAUAAUAAAUGGUGCCAGAAGUCACUAGCAUGCAAAAGUAUGAGAUCCAGGAGAAGCCRGGCCUUGGAGGAAGCUAAGAAUGAUGUUCCCGGGUCCAAAUGUAUGCAGCAUGAACUCCUGGCCAUCAGAAAAGACCAAUACAAGAGGAGCUUUGCUCUGUCAGCCUGCACUGCAGAGGAAAAAAGAAAUGCUGAGGCAGCAUCAAACRCGCCUCUAGGAAAUAAAGCUCCUGUUGUGCAAAACCAUGCCAGCCAGUCACCUGUCACAAUCAGCUUCUCACUGUCAUCCAGAAUUUGUGAGGAAAGAGGUUGGAUUUGCCAGCCUUCUGACUCAAGUUCUGAAGAUCCUCAGAAGCUGCCUUAUGUGUGGGCCCUGAAGAGACUACAACAAAUUCAAAAACAAAUAAAAGAGCAAGCAUCCAAGCAGAAGGAAGCAGGGUUUGAUAAACCAAUUAUUUUCCGGCAUUAUGGUGAUCACAGAGAAGAAACUUUGCCGAAGACAUGGAAGGGUCAGACUGGCAUGACUGUCACACCAGAGCUGCUGUAUGGCAAACCUCAGACCCCUGUGGCCAAGAAAACAGACUCAGCACAGAGAAAACUGCAUUAUGAGCUGAAUGAUGGCUCAUCUUUGAUUUAAUAUCCU